rnacentral:rRNA from 1 species
AGGGCACCACCAGGAGUGGAGCCUGCGGCUUAAUUUGACUCAACACGGGAAAACUCACCCGGCCCGGACACCGUGAGGAUUGACAGAUUGAUAGCUUUUUCAUGAUUCGGUGGUUGGUGGUGCAUGGCCGUUCUUAGUUCGUGGAUCGAUUUGUCUGGUUUAUUCCGAUAACGAGCGAGACUCUAGCCUACUAAAUAGUGCGGGGAUUGCCGCUGUCCCCACGCACUUUUUAGAGGGAUUGGCUGCGUCUAGCAGCACGAAACGGAGCGAUAACAGGUCUGUGAUGCCCUUAGAUGUCCGGGCUGCACGCGCGCUACACUGGCAAAGGAGGUGCUUGUCCAAUCCGAAAGACCGGAAACCUUGAAAAUUUGCGUGAUUGGAUCGAAAUGCAAUAUUUUCGUGACGAGAAUCCAGUAGUGCAAUCACAGCUGCGUGAUACGCCCUGCCUUGUACACCCGCCCGUGCUGCUAGACUGACCUUUCAGAAUUCGGAUCGUGGUGCCGCUCGAGGGGUGCACCG